UGUCAUUAGGUUGGUAUUGUGGAGUAACUACUAUGUUGUUCAUCCAUCCUCAGUUUCCUCCCAUCACAGCCAUUAAACUCUGUCAUUAGGUUAGUAUUGUGGAGUAACUACUAUGUUGUUCAUCCAUCCUCAGUUUCCUCCCAUCACAGCCAUUAAACUCUGUCAUUAGGUUGGUAUUGUGGAGUAACUACCAUGUUGUUCAUCCAUCCUCAGUUUCCUCCCAUCACAGCCAUUAAACUCUGUCAUUAGGUUGGUAUUGUGGAGUAACUACCAUGUUGUUCAUCCAUCCUCAGUUUCCUCCCAUCACAGCCAUUAAACUCUGUCAUUAGGUUGGUAUUGUGGAGUAACUACCAUGUUGUUCAUCCAUCCUCAGUUUCCUCCCAUCACAGCCAUUAAACUCUGUCAUUAGGUUAGUAUUGUGGAGUAACUACCAUGUUGUUCAUCCAUCCUCAGUUUCCUCCCAUCACAGCCAUUAAACUCUGUCAUUAGGUUAGUAUUGUGGAGUAACUACCAUGUUGUUCAUCCAUCCUCAGUUUCCUCCCAUCACAGCCAUUAAACUCUGUCAUUAGGUUGUGGAGUAACUACCAUGUUGUUCAUCCAUCCUCAGUUUCCUCCCAUCACAGUCAUUAAACUCUGUCAUUAGGUUGGUAUUGUGGAGUAACUACCAUGUUGUUCAUCCAUCCUCAGUUUCCUCCCAUCACAGCCAUUAAACUCUGUCAUUAGGUUGGUAUUGUGGAGUAACUACCAUGUUGUUUAUCCAUCCUCAGUUUCCUCCCAUCACAGCCAUUAAACUCUGUCAUUAGGUUGGUAUUGUGGAGUAACUACCAUGUUGUUUAUCCAUCCUCAGUUUCCUCCCAUCACAGUCAUUAAACUCUGUCAUUAGGUUGUGGAGUAACUACCAUGUUGUUCAUCCCUCCUCAGUUUCCUCCCAUCACAGCCAUUAAACUCUGUCAUUAGGUUGGUAUUGUGGAGUAACUACCAUGUUGUUCAUCCAUCCUCAGUUUCCUCCCAUCACAGCCAUUAAACUCUGUCUUUUAGGUUGUAGAGUAACUACCAUGUUGUUCAUCCAUCCUCAGUUUCCUCCCAUCACAGCCAUUAAACUCUGUCAUUAGGUUGGUAUUGUGGAGUAACUACCAUGUUGUUCAUCCCUCCUCAGUUUCCUCCUAUCACAGCCAUUAAACUCUGUCAUUAGGUUGGUAUUGUGGAGUAACUACCAUGUUGUUCAUCCAUCCUCAGUUUCCUCCUAUCACAGCCAUUAAACUCUGUCAUUAGGUUAGUAUUGUGGAGUAACUACCAUGUUGUUCAUCCAUCCUCAGUUUCCUCCCAUCACAGCCAUUAAACUCUGUCAUUAGGUUAGUAUUGUGGAGUAACUACAAUGUUGUUCAUCCAUCCUCAGUUUCCUCCCAUCACAGCCAUUAAACUCUGUCUUUUAGGUUGGUAUUGUGGAGUAACUACCAUGUUGUUCAUCCAUCCUCAGUUUCCUCCCAUCACAGCCAUUAAACUCUGUCAUUAGGUUAGUAUUGUGGAGUAACUACCAUGUUGUUCAUCCAUCCUCAGUUUCCUCCCAUCACAGCCAUUAAACUCUGUCAUUAGGUUAGUAUUGUGGAGUAACUACCAUGUUGUUCAUCCAUCCUCAGUUUCCUCCCAUCACAGCCAUUAAACUCUGUCAUUAGGUUGGUAUUGUGGAGUAACUACCAUGUUGUUCAUCCAUCCUCAGUUUCCUCCCAUCACAGCCAUUAAACUCUGUCAUUAGGUUAGUAUUGUGGAGUAACUACCAUGUUGUUCAUCCAUCCUCAGUUUCCUCCCAUCACAGCCAUUAAACUCUGUCAUUAGGUUGGUAUUGUGGAGUAACUACCAUGUUGUUCAUCCAUCCUCAGUUUCCUCCCAUCACAGCCAUUAAACUCUGUCAUUAGGUUGGUAUUGUGGAGUAACUACCAUGUUGUUCAUCCAUCCUCAGUUUCCUCCCAUCACAGCCAUUAAACUCUGUCUUUUAGGUUGGUAUUGUGGAGUAACUACCAUGUUGUUCAUCCAUCCUCAGUUUCCUCCCAUCACAGCCAUUAAACUCUGUCAUUAGGUUAGUAUUGUGGAGUAACUACCAUGUUGUUCAUCCAUCCUCAGUUUCCUCCCAUCACAGCCAUUAAACUCUGUCAUUAGGUUAGUAUUGUGGAGUAACUACCAUGUUGUUCAUCCAUCCUCAGUUUCCUCCCAUCACAGCCAUUAAACUCUGUCAUUAGGUUGGUAUUGUGGAGUAACUACCAUGUUGUUCAUCCAUCCUCAGUUUCCUCCCAUCACAGCCAUUAAACUCUGUCUUUUAGGUUGGUAUUGUGGAGUAACUACCAUGUUGUUCAUCCAUCCUCAGUUUCCUCCCAUCACAGCCAUUAAACUCUGUCAUUAGGUUAGUAUUGUGGAGUAACUACCAUGUUGUUCAUCCAUCCUCAGUUUCCUCCCAUCACAGCCAUUAAACUCUGUCAUUAGGUUAGUAUUGUGGAGUAACUACCAUGUUGUUCAUCCAUCCUCAGUUUCCUCCCAUCACAGCCAUUAAACUCUGUCAUUAGGUUGGUAUUGUGGAGUAACUACCAUGUUGUUCAUCCAUCCUCAGUUUUCUCCCA